AAUUACUUGUUAGUCACCAUUUCUCCAUAAAUCCUCGAUAAUCCUAAUCAGAGGGAGAAAAUGGUGUGGUUGAGAUUCAAUUGUAAACAUUGUCCCUUAAUGUGUAAUUGAAUCAAGAAUCUAGUUUUUAACCACUUUGAAUUGUCUUUUUCUUUCUUCUCUCUUUUCUUUACUUUGUGAUUUUCUUGUUGAUCAAAAAACC
rnacentral:lncRNA from 1 species